GGCUGGUCCAAGUGAAGUGAUAUUUACAACUAAUUGAUCAUGACCAGUUACAGGUUUCUUUCUUUCUUCUCCACUCCCACUGCUUCACUUGACUAGCCUCUU
ensembl:Y_RNA Y_RNA Y RNA